GACGAACGCUGGCGGCGUGCUUAACACAUGCAAGUCGAACGAUGACGACCGAGCUUGCUCGGUCUGAUUAGUGGCGAACGGGUGAGUAACACGUGAGCAACCUGCCCUUCACUCUGGGAUAACCUCGGGAAAUCGGGGCUAAUACCGGAUAUGAGCUCCUGUCGCAUGGCGGGUGUUGGAAAGUUUUUCGGUGAAGGAUGGGCUCGCGGCCUAUCAGUUUGUUGGUGAGGUAGUGGCUCACCAAGGCGAUGACGGGUAGCCGGCCUGAGAGGGCGACCGGCCACACUGGGACUGAGACACGGCCCAGACUUCUACGGGAGGCAGCAGUGGGGAAUAUUGCACAAUGGGCGAAAGCCUGAUGCAGCGACGCCGCGUGAGGGAUGACGGCCUUCGGGUUGUAAACCUCUUUCAGCAGGGAAGAAGCGAAAGUGACGGUACCUGCAGAAGAAGCGCCGGCUAACUACGUG
rnacentral:rRNA from 1 species